UUUACAGAGGAGAAUGACAUGGAACAGUAAGUAUUUCAGUUUAAAUGUGCUCUUAUAGUGUUGAAAUUUAUUAAUUAGUUCCUUGGCGCGGAACACCUCUUAGAUCAUUGUAAUCAGACGGUUUAUAUACUAAUUUUCCGAGUAUUAGAUUCAAGCACUAACUCUGUUCAAAGUUCAGCUACAAUAAUCAAAUCUUCAAGGAUGGUACUGUCGUCUUGAUAAUUUUUCAGCAAAACUGUAUCCCACUACUCGGUGUAUUAUCAUUGGCUUUUGUCAUUACGAUCCCAUGUCUUCAUGAACCCUACACAUUGUAAUGCCUUCCAGAUUUCAAUCCAUACCGGUUACAUUACCAGGUCUAUUCUUAUCUAAUUUUUAUAGCUCGCUCGUCUUGCUGAGAUGGAGGUGAAGUGUCGAUUAAAGUUCUAGAAAUUGGCCUCCCACUGGGAGGAAUUGCAAAGUUGUUUGCUUAGGAUUUGCUCAUGAUUGUUGAUUAGAACGAACAUAAUUGUCCAUUGUCCUGCUCUCAUUAGGUAUGUCGUUUCAAUGAAAGUACAUCUGCAUCCUGUUCAUUUUCCAAUCCACUUUCAACAGACAGUUUGCAUUAUCUGCUCUGUUUUUGGAGCUGGAGCAAGGAAUUAAUUCUGUUUUAGCUCUCAUCUUUCCUUAUGCUGUGAAUCUGAAGUAUUUCUUGCUAUGUCACUUAUGAUUAAGAACCCUGUACAACUAGAUCUUGCACUGUCGCCCUUGGAUAUUGGGAAGUCUGAAGAAGCCUGUGGUUUAGGUAUGUUUUUGUAAUCAGAAUAUAUUUAUAUGCUUCUGCAAAUUAUAAAUCUUGUAUUCACAUUCACUGAUUGUACACUAGCACGCCCCGGUGCCUGAACUUGUUCAUUUUGUAGGGUUCUUGCGAAUCAUGCUGGUCGUUCAGCGCGUCUGGGCAUUGGAGUGGGCCAACUACCUGACGACAGGCAAGAUGGAGAUGCUCUCUGAGCAGCAGUUGCUGCGACCAUGAGGUGGGGCUCCCUUUCUUUGGUCGUUUUAUUAACCAUGAGGUGAUGUUAAUAAAAAUGAAAUCUGAUUUAGUGUUACCUGAAGAGAUCUUUAUUUGUGCUUUAUAAAGUCAGAUUAGUUUUGGUUUUUCACUUGUAUGCUUUGUAGGUCAGUAUACUGACGCAUGCUACUAUAAUCAUGUGGUGCAAAAAAGUGGUUUGUCUAUUUUUGUGCUUCGGCCUCCUUCCAAUUUCAGGUGGCCAACCAUUACUUGAUUAUGACAAGAAGUACCUAAUUUCAAUACCAAAGAUUAGUGAUUCAUGUCAAAAAUUUCAGGGUAGAACAAUGUGUCUUUAGGUUGUCCUCCCCUAAUUAAUUCAGUCAUAGUAACAUUGGUAUGCUAUUUCUUUUUGGCUGCUCACACAUCUUCAUAAUGUUGAGAAAUUGGAGCAUUGCAUGUGAUGGUAAGCAAUCAGUUCUGCAAUUCACUUUUAUCCAUGCAAUUACUUUUUUGAGUAUUACCGUGGAGAAUAUAUUCAGUACAUAACUAAAUUUUCAUAAAACAUUUGAACAUUCUCUUUUCAACAUGUGUAAUUUGUAUAUAUUAAUCGAGCUAUAGGUAAGCAUAGAAAAAAGUAGGUGCAUAUGUAGUAAAGAAACCGUGGGAAUAAAGUGCGGCACUUGCAUAACUUCGCAAGCUUGGAGAGAUAUAUAGUCAGAUCUUUAGUUAGCUUUAGUUCAUAAGUAAGAGAGUCCUACUUUCUUAGUCCACUAUGGUGCGUACAAUGUCAAGGAGCGUUAGAUUUGAAAUCACAUAUAUGUUUAUGAAUCGUUAUGAGUUCUGAAUGAUCAUUUUUACAUGGACAUAUGUCAAAGUUGAGUAAGAGCCAGCAACCUCAAGGAACAAUAACCAUUCAAGAUUAAUGCACAUUUGGUUUGCCGUGGCCUGGGCGUCAUAAAAAACGGCAAGGACGUCACUGAGGCUGCCUUGGAUGCUCUUGCCAACCAGUUGAAGGAGUAGCUGAAGCUGCAGGACAUUGUCGCGCUCCGAGAAAUCUUCAGGCUCGAUGACGAGCAGGCCGUGGCGAUCAAGCAGGGUGCCCUUGUCAACCUUGGAGUUGUUGAUGCUCUAGAUCAUGAAAGAGAGAGUAUUCAGGCCACUGAUGUGUAAGCUCCCUUCUGUUUAUACAUGACCUGUUGGGGAAGAUUAACUCUAAUGACAGCACAAUGCACUUGUUCUUGUUGUUGCUGGCCGUGAAUGCCUGUAGGGUGUUUUGGGCUAUUGUUUCCCCUUUUGAGUUUGCUCGGGGGGAAGAGCUUGCUAAACCACCUCUGUAAUGUGCAUUAUUAAUUUUAUGCUAGG
rnacentral:lncRNA from 1 species